GCGGAUGGCCGGAUGGCCGCGGCGGCGGAGGUUUCGGCCAAGGCCGUCGAGGAAAGUCCGGACUCCAAGAAGGCACGGUGCCGGGUAACGCCCGGCGGGGGCAACCCUAGGGAAAGCGCCACAGAGAACAGACCGCCCGGGCUGCGCCCCGGGCAAGGGUGAAACGGUGGGGUAAGAGCCCACCACGGAGCUGGCAACAGCGCCGGUCAUGGCAAGCCCCACCGGGAGCAAUGCCGAAUAGGGGUCUCGCGCCGGAAACGGCAGGGGAGCCUGCCCCGAGAGGCCCGGGUAGGCAGCUGGAGGCGGCGCGGCAACGCGUCGUCCAGAGGAAUGGCCAUCUCCCGCGCCUCGGCGCGGCAGACAGAAUCCGGCUUACAGGCCAUCCGCGCGU
rnacentral:RNase_P_RNA from 2 species